GACGAGGGGUCCAAGCGUUGUUCGGAAUCAUUGGGCGUAAAGCGGGUGUAGGUGGCUUUGUAAGUCAGGAGUGAAAUCCCCGAGCUUAACUCGGGAAGUGCUUUUGAAACUGCAGAGCUUGAAUGUGGGAGAGGAUCGUGGAAUUCCAGGUGUAGUGGUGAAAUACGUAGAUAUCUGGAGGAACAUCAGUGGCGAAAGCGACUUCCUGGACCAAUACUGACGCUCAUGUGCGAAAGCGUGGGGAGCAAACAGG
rnacentral:rRNA from 1 species